AAGGCAGCAGCCACUGGGUAUAAAUAGAGGCGGACUACUCGCUUCGCAGUUAUUCGAAAAUAAUAAGUGUUAAAGUGAAGUUCUCUAGUGAAAAUAAAAAGAGUUUGAAAAGAAAAUAUUUCUCAAAUAGUGCAUAGUUGCUAUAUAUAGAGAUUAUUCAACUGCAAUGAAAAAGUGUGCAGAAGGUGUUGGAAGGGCAAAGCUGCGUAGCUAUAUUAUGGCACGUCGACUGAAAUAGUUGCUAGCGCUGUUUGAGCUUUUUGCUGUAAACAAGGAAAAGAAAAUCUGCUCAUCGUCAUCGUCGUGGGCACUUUUGAGGCGUUUUCACAUUGACGAAAUGUUUUAACAGAAAAUCAAUGGCCAAGUUUUUUCCCGCAUUCGGCUAGAGAAAUUGCGAUGUAGGCAGGCAAAGGCAGAUGCCAGGAGCUCGUAAUAAAAUUGCUGAGACAGGCAAGAAUUAUAGCCAGACCCCCGGAGUGUAUGUUGUCGUGACCUGGAUUAGAGGAGUUUGGAGUUAGGAAGACAGUUGGGCGUUGAAAGUUGAUACGCGAUCGAACUUGAUCGCAAUGCGUGAGAAAAAGCCUUACAAUUAGCUCAAAAUGCUGCUUGUUCGGUCCCAUGUAGCCGUGAGAGUAUAUCUAAACUAAACUGCGACCAAAUGUGUGUGUGUGUGUCGCGGCCUACACAGGGGUACUUAACAUCGUUUUUAUCAGAUUGUGAUUGCGUGGAUUGAAUAUAUAUAGGAACCCGUAUCGACUUCUCUGAUCUGCUAAGACUUGUUCAAAAGAAAGGCGCCCAAAUACAUACGUUACGUUAUAUAAACGGUCGUCUAUUCACCUACCAUCGACCGUUAUCUCAAUACUGAUCGAAUAGAUACAACACUACUGACAUCGAUCAAUAUACAUAUAUAUCUAGUAUCUGGAGUAGCAACCGAUUGUGCGCGUUCAUUUAGCGCGAAGCAUAAGCUGUAAAAUCUACUUUAUAUACUUAA